AGAGUUUGAUCCUGGCUCAGAACGAACGCUGGCGGCGCGCCUAACACAUGCAAGUCGAACGCGAAAGAGGGGCAACUCUCGAGUAAAGUGGCGCACGGGUGAGUAACGCGUAGGUGAUCUACCUCUGCGACCGGGAUAACUAGCCGAAAGGUUGGCUAAUACUGGAUAGAGCGCAUGAAACAUAAAGUUUUGUGCGGGAA
rnacentral:rRNA from 1 species